rnacentral:rRNA from 1 species
UACGUAGGGUGCGAGCGUUGUCCGGAAUUACUGGGCGUAAAGAGCUCGUAGGUGGUUUGUCGCGUUGUUCGUGAAAACUCACAGCUUAACUGUGGGCGUGCGGGCGAUACGGGCAGACUGGAGUACUGCAGGGGAGACUGGAAUUCCUGGUGUAGCGGUGAAAUGCGCAGAUAUCAGGAGGAACACCGAUGGCGAAGGCGGGUCUCUGGGCCGAUACUGACGCUGAGGAGCGAAAGCGUGGGGAGCGAACAGG